rnacentral:rRNA from 1 species
GAUGAACGCUGGCGGCGUGCCUAAUACAUGCAAGUCGAGCGAACAGACGAGGAGCUUGCUCCUCUAACGUUAGCGGCGGACGGGUGAGUAACACGUGGAUAACCUACCUAUAAGACUGGGAUAACUUCGGGAAACCGGAGCUAAUACCGGAUAAUAUAUUGAACCGCAUGGUUCAAUAGUGAAAGACGGUUUUGCUGUCACUUAUAGAUGGAUCCGCGCCGCCUUAGCUAGUUGGUAAGGUAACAGCUUACCAAGGCAACGAUGCGUAGCCGACCUGAGAGGGUGAUCGGCCACACUGGAACUGAGACACGGUCCAGACUCCUACGGGAGGCAGCAGUAGGGAAUCUUCCGCAAUGGGCGAAAGCCUGACGGAGCAACGCCGCGUGAGUGAUGAAGGUCUUCGGAUCGUAAAACUCUGUUAUUAGGGAAGAACAAAUGUGUAAGUAACUAUGCACGUCUUGACGGUACCUAAUCAGAAAGCCACGGCUAACUACGUG